rnacentral:rRNA from 1 species
AUUGAACGCUGGCGGCAUGCCUAACACAUGCAAGUCGAACGGCAGCACAAUAAAGAUUUCGGUCUUUAUGGGUGGCGAGUGGCGGACGGGCGAGUAACGCGUAGGAAUCUGUCCUGGAGAGUGGGAUAACCCGAGGAAACUCGGGCUAAUACUGCAUGACAUUGAGAGAUCAAAAGCAGGGGACCGAAAGGCCUUGCGCUCUGGGGUGAGCCUACGCCGGAUUAGCUAGUUGGUGGGGUAAAGGCCUACCAAGGCGACGAUCCGUAGCUGGUCUGAGAGGAUGACCAGCCACACUGGGACUGAGACACGGCCCAGACUCCUACGGGAGGCAGCAGUGGGGAAUCUUGGACAAUGGGGGAAACCCUGAUCCAGCGAUGCCGCGUGUGUGAAGAAGGCCUUCGGGUUGUAAAGCACUUUAGGUGGGGAAGAAAGGUAGCGAGUGAAUAACUUUCUGCUGUGACGGUACCCACAGAAUAAGCACCGGCUAACUCUGUGCCAGCAGCCGCAGUAA